UACGUAGGGGGCGAGCGUUGUCCGGAUUUAUUGGGCGUAAAGAGCUCGUAGGCGGUUUGGCAAGUCGGGUGUGAAAACUCCGGGCUCAACUCGGAGACGCCACUCGAUACUGCUAUGACUCGAGUCCGGUAGGGGAGUGCGGAAUUCCUGGUGUAGCGGUGAAAUGCGCAGAUAUCAGGAGGAACACCGGUGGCGAAGGCGGCACUCUGGGCCGGUACUGACGCCGAGGAGCGAAAGCGUGGGGAGCGAACAGG
rnacentral:rRNA from 1 species